rnacentral:lncRNA from 1 species
CCCCUAAAAACAAGAUCGCAUACAGGUUACAGCAUUGAAAUCAGAAACUAAAACUAUCAAAUAUAAUUACAAAUUAAACUACAUUAUCAGCUAAACCCCGAUAAGAAGAGUAGCUGAUAACCAAAUAAACAAAUCUAGUUUUUAGCUGAAUUGAAUUGCACAACUCCAACUGCACCUAAUCAUAAUGACAUCUUCCUGGAUACUCUACCUCACCAUCUGCUUGAAACUCAACCACUUGCAAUCAUUGUCUAUCAUUGCUCUUACGCGCAGUCUUAAGUGAAUCAUCUUUAUCCCUAGCUGAAAAGGGUUAGAGGAAUAGCAAGAAUGAGCAAUAAUGCUCAGCAAGUAUAUAAUAUCCAAACCAACAAUAAUUCAUAAACCAUAUGUAAAGCAUGGCAACGAUAUCAAGAUUCUAACAUGCUUCGAAGGUUAACCAACACAAUAUGAUUUAAACAAAACAGUUUCUCCUUUAUGGAAUUGGAACCAGAUAAGACGCUACGAGCUAAGCUGGGUGAUCAGCCCACGACAUAGCUCCGAACCCGUAUAUCCAAUACGAGUUCUCAAAUAUAAAGGAUCCUAGGCACACUUUGGCCUUUAAUAAUUCAAUUGGGACCGGCGCCUCGGUCAUAAAACAUUUUCAUCCAAUUCCCUUUUUGAAACAGAUAAUCAAAUCAUUUUUCAUUUUAAAACCAAGGUUCAAAAUCUAUAAGCAUCAACGCUUCUAAACCAAUUAUUCAUUUUAACACCUUAGCAUUAGAGUUCUACUAAUUAAGUAUUCUUUAUCAAGGGUAUAGGUUGCUGAAUUAAGUGUAUCAAUGUAUUUUAUAAUGAUGGCAGGAUAGGUUGUAAGAUGAUAACUAAGGUCUUUCAAGAAAUGGGGUUUCAUUUCUGGGUCUGAAACAAACAAGUGAACUAGUUUAUAAGCCAGGACACAAUUUGUUGUAGUUAAAAAGGAGGUAAAAAAAUAAGGUUCUAAGCUCAAUAUUAAGUAACUGGCAGUUGAAGAAGAUAAGGAGGAUAAUAGUGUGGAUACAUUUGCGAGAUAUAAAAGACAAAAGGUAUUCCAUUUCAUACUUGGGUAAUUCCAGAAUACUAGUUAAUUAGUAGAAGUCUAAUUCUAUAAGGAGUUUUGCAAUAUUCAAAGCAUAACAAAAGCAUUGCAGGAGCAAAAUCUUUUAAAGAGAAAGUAGGUUGGAUAUAUACUUGCCUUAACUCCGGUGUCUAGCUCAGAUUUCUAAUAACACUAUGUAGUGCCAUAUCAUUCCUUUCCGCCGCUUCUAACAAGAUUCUAUCUAUAGCAAUCUCUGCCUAACUUCAACUUGCAACACAACUUAGCUGUUUCUGAAUAACCAUUUCAAUCACUUCUCGAUCAAUGCCUCGAUCAACGUCUCGUUCAAUUCUAUAUGAUGGCAAAAUAGUAUUUCAGUCGUCCGAUCAGACGGAUUAACUAAGCUCGAAAAGCAUUAAGACCUAUUAUAUAUCUACCCUUCGCAUAUACAUACCACAUAGUCAGAUAAACACAUAGCACAUAGUUCCACAAUAACCCUUUUUUUUAUAGCCACUUAGAUACUUAAAAUUUUCUAACAAAAUUUCGGCAGCACCUCCUCUAUUUAUCGGACUAUCCACCUGUUUUCUUAUACUAUUCAACAAGUAACCAACUCAAACCAAAUCAAUAAACCAACAAGUACUGAACCAAUAUCAAUUAAACACAAUCACUAUUAAACAUUAUUAACACUAACCAACCAAGUAUAACCUCAUAUUAUGCACUAACAAAGAAAGAAAACUAGAGCAAAUAGUUCAAAUAGCCCUUACUCUAUGAUUUUUAAUAAAUUGAAAACUUAUCGAUAUAAUAUGAAAUUUUUAUGAAAUACUCCUACACAUUAUUCCAACCUACAGUAAAAUUUUCAGAAAGCAAAUCCAAGCUUAAAGCAGUAAAACAGGCCUGUCAAUCAGGCACCAGAAACUGCUUUGCAAAACCAGCCAGACGCUAGAAUUUUUAAUAAAUAAAAAAAUUGGUCUGAUUGUAUAAAAUUUUAAUGACAUAUUCCAGAUACUAACAUCCAACUCUGGUAAAAAUUUCAGAAGCAAAGCUCGAGUUUAAGGUAGCAAAACAGGGCAUGGAACAGGACACGUAAACUUGCCCAGAAUUUUCUGCGCAUACCAUAGUAAAACGGUCAUAUCUCCUAGCUCGCUAAUCGAAUCGAUUCGAUUCUUUCGCGCACAUAAACUAGACUCUGAGGAGCACAUAACCACAGAAAUAUUAAGCAUAUAAUUCGACUCUAUAAGCCCAGAAUUUUACUGCAAACAGAUCAGCAGCAACCUACAAUUCAACCGAUUAUGUGUAAAUCUAAAUUUUUAGCCCAAUACUUAAACUCUUAAAACACCAUUCUGAAAACAUUUACACAAAAUCUCAGACCUUAAAACUUGAAUACUCAGUUAUAUAUUCCCAUAAUUCAAGUACCCAAGUCAUCCGAUUAUACUACUAGUUGGCGUACUAAUUAUAAUCAACUUACAACAAUCAAUUCAAAUGUCAAUUAAGCACACAAUUCAAUCAUACAAUUACUAAAACCCAUCUCAAUCUCAAAAAUUCAAUUCACCUCCAUUUACCAGCGUUAAUCAGUUUAUAUACAUACAAGCACACAUAAAUCGAUUAUAUAAAUCAAUUUAAUCUAUAUAAACACAACACCACAUAUAUAUACGUCCAUAUAGAACUGAUUUGACAAAUAGAAAUUAAGCUUUAUACCCACUGAUUUAUAACUGGUGACAGGCUAUGGUGGUCGCCGGAA